UUUUGCAGUAAUAGUACGUUUAAUUUACCAGUUCCCAAUGGAUCACUUAAAUUUAGCAACGUUGUGUGUGGUUGGUAUCUGGACGGGUGACCGUCCGAGGAAACACGUGUUCUCACAU
rnacentral:rRNA from 1 species